CCUGGUCGACUGGGUGGGCUACGGGCCGGAGGAGCGCUCCUGGGUUUCCCGCUCUCUCAUUUUGGACCCCUCGCUCAUUGAGGAUUUCUACCGGGCCCACCCGGAUCGCCGCCCUUGACCGCCUGGAGGCGGUCGUUGAGGGGGGGGUACUGUCAUGGUGCCUCUGUCAGACUCCUCCCCCUCCCCUCUCUGCUUGGUUCCCUGAUUCAGCACAGCUGCGACCACUCUACUCAUCUUCUCCACCUGCCUAUUUAAGGAGCUCCUGGACCAGUAUUCAUCGCCAGUCCGUUGCCCCUGAUGGAAACCCCAAACCACGGGUGGUCGCCUGAAUCCGUCGCUAUCUGGAACCCUCACUCAGUCUGCUUCACCGGUCUCACCACGAGCCUCUGCCGAUCAUCCAACUCCACAGAUCUCCGCCGACGCUGCCCUACGAAGGGAUCCACCAGUGACGCCACAAAAUCCAGUCUCUCGUUGGGACCUCACAGAAACUGCUCACUCCCUAACUGUGCUGGCAAUUAAAUCUUCUUACUCACCUCA